rnacentral:rRNA from 1 species
UACGAAGGGGGCUAGCGUUGCUCGGAAUCACUGGGCGUAAAGCGCACGUAGGCGGCUUUUUAAGUCAGAGGUGAAAUCCUGGAGCUCAACUCCAGAACUGCCUUUGAUACUGGAGAGCUUGAGUCCGGGAGAGGUGAGUGGAACUGCGAGUGUAGAGGUGAAAUUCGUAGAUAUUCGCAAGAACACCAGUGGCGAAGGCGGCUCACUGGCCCGGUACUGACGCUGAGGCGCGAAAGCGUGGGGAGCAAACAGG